rnacentral:rRNA from 1 species
GUACGGGAGGCAGCAGUGAGGAAUUUUGUGCAAUGGGCGAAAGCCUGACACAGCGACGCCGCGUGAGGGAAGAAGGCCUUCGGGUUGUAAACCUCUUUUCUCAGGGAAGAAUAAUGACGGUACCUGAGGAAUAAGUCACGGCUAACUACGUGCCAGCAGCCGCGGUAAUACGUAGGUGGCAAGCGUUAUCCGGAUUUACUGGGCGUAAAGAGUGCGUAGGUGGUCCUUCAAGUCGGAUGUUAAAACUCACGGCUUAACUGUGAGAUGUCAUCCGAUACUGCUGGACUUGAGGACAGUAGAGGAAGGUGGAACUCCUCGUGUAGUGGUGAAAUGCGUAGAUAUCGGGAAGAACACCAGUGGCGAAGGCGGCCUUCUGGGCUGUUUCUGACACUGAGGCACGAAAGCGUGGGGAGCGAACAGGAUUAGAUACCCUUGUAGUCU